GACGAACGCUGGCGGCGUGCUUAACACAUGCAAGUCGAACGAUGAUCAGGAGCUUGCUCCUGUGAUUAGUGGCGAACGGGUGAGUAACACGUGAGUAACCUGCCCCUGACUCUGGGAUAAGCGUUGGAAACGACGUCUAAUACUGGAUAUGAUCACUGGCCGCAUGGUCUGGUGGUGGAAAGAUUUUUUGGUUGGGGAUGGACUCGCGGCCUAUCAGCCUGUUGGUGAGGUAAUGGCUCACCAAGGCGACGACGGGUAGCCGGCCUGAGAGGGUGACCGGCCACACUGGGACUGAGACACGGCCCAGACUCCUACGGGAGGCAGCAGUGGGGAAUAUUGCACAAUGGGCGAAAGCCUGAUGCAGCAACGCCGCGUGAGGGAUGACGGCCUUCGGGUUGUAAACCUCUUUUAGUAGGGAAGAAGCGAAAGUGACGGUACCUGCAGAAAAAGCACCGGCUAACUACGUG
rnacentral:rRNA from 1 species